rnacentral:rRNA from 1 species
AUUGAACGCUGGCGGCAGGCUUAACACAUGCAAGUCGAGCGGAGUGAUGGUGCUUGCACUAUCACUUAGCGGCGGACGGGUGAGUAAUGCUUAGGAAUCUGCCAUUUAGUGGGGGACAACAUUCCGAAAGGAAUGCUAAUACCGCAUACGUCCUACGGGAGAAAGCAGGGGAUCUUCGGACCUUGCGCUAAAUGAUGAGCCUAAGUCGGAUUAGCUAGUUGGUGGGGUAAAGGCCUACCAAGGCGACGAUCUGUAGCGGGUCUGAGAGGAUGAUCCGCCACACUGGGACUGGGACACGGCCCAGACUCCUACGGGAGGCAGCAGUGGGGAAAUAUUGGACAAUGGGCGGAAGCCUGAUCCAGCCAUGCCGCGUGUGUGAAGAAGGCCUUUUGGUUGUAAAGCACUUUAAGCGAGGAGGAGGCUACUAGUACUAAUACUACUGGAUAGUGGACGUUACUCGCAGAAUAAGCACCGGCUAACUCUGUGCAGCCGCCGCCGUAACAC